rnacentral:rRNA from 1 species
GAUGAACGCUGGCGGCGUGCCUAACACAUGCAAGUCGAGCGAACAGAUGAGGAGCUUGCUCCUCUGACGUUAGCGGCGGACGGGUGAGUAACACGUGGAUAACCUACCUAUAUGACUGGGAUAACUUCGGGACACCGGAGCUAAUACCGGAUAAUAUAUUGAACCGUAUGGUUCAUUAGUGAAAGACGGUUUUGCUGUCACUUAUAGAUGGUUCCGCGCCGCAUUAGCUAGUUGGUAAGGUAACGGCUUACCACGGCAACGAUGCGUAGCCGACCUGAGAGAGUGAUCGGCCACACUGGAACUGAGACACGGUCCAGACUCCUACGGGAGGCAGCAGUAGGGAAUCUUACGCAAUGGGCGAGAGCCUGACAGAGCAACGCCGCGUGAGUGAUGAAGGUCUUCGGAUCGUAAAACUCUGUUAUUAGUGAAGAACAAAUGUGUAAGUAACUAUGCACGUCUUGACGGUACCUGAUCAGAAAGCCACGGCUAACUACGUG